rnacentral:rRNA from 1 species
GACGAACGCUGGCGGCGUGCUUAACACAUGCAAGUCGAACGGAAAGGCCCUGCUUUUGUGGGGUGCUCGAGUGGCGAACGGGUGAGUAACACGUGAGUAACCUGCCCUUGACUUUGGGAUAACUUCAGGAAACUGGGGCUAAUACCGGAUAGGAGCUCCUGCUGCAUGGUGGGGGUUGGAAAGUUUCGGCGGUUGGGGAUGGACUCGCGGCUUAUCAGCUUGUUGGUGGGGUAGUGGCUUACCAAGGCUUUGACGGGUAGCCGGCCUGAGAGGGUGACCGGGCACAUUGGGACUGAGAGACGGCCCAGACUCCUACGGGAGGCAGCAGUGGGGAAUAUGGCACAAUGGGCGGAAGCCUGAUGCAGCAACGCCGCGUGCGGGAUGACGGCCUUCGGGUUGUAAACCGCUUUCGCCUGUGACGAAGCGUGAGUGACGGUAAUGGGUAAAGAAGCACCGGCUAACUACGUG